rnacentral:rRNA from 1 species
AUUGAACGCUGGCGGCAUGCCUUACACAUGCAAGUCGAACGGUAACAGGUCUUCGGAUGCUGACGAGUGGCGAACGGGUGAGUAAUACAUCGGAACGUGCCUAGUAGUGGGGGAUAACUACUCGAAAGAGUGGCUAAUACCGCAUGAGAUCUACGGAUGAAAGCAGGGGAUCGCAAGACCUUGUGCUACUAGAGCGGCCGAUGGCAGAUUAGGUAGUUGGUGGGAUAAAAGCUUACCAAGCCGACGAUCUGUAGCUGGUAUGAGAGGACGAUCAGCCACACUGGGACUGAGACACGGCCCAGACUCCUACGGGGGGCAGCAGUGGGGAAUUUUGGACAAUGGGCGAAAGCCUGAUCCAGCAAUGCCGCGUGCAGGAUGAAGGCCUUCGGGUUGUAAACUGCUUUUGUACGGAACGAAAAGCCCCGGGUUAAUACCCUGGGGUCAUGACGGUACCGUAAGAAUAAGCACCGGCUAACUACGUGCCAGCCGCCGCAGUAA